rnacentral:lncRNA from 1 species
AUGACUAUUAAUUUGGAAGAUGAAUGGCGGGAAGUUUGGAUCCAUCAUGAAGCUCAAGGGGCACGCCCUCAAACCCGGAGCCUGCAUCUUGUAGCAACUGCUGGUGACUUUGAGCUCCGGUUUCCACGCUUCAUGUCUCGAAUAGAGAUGGACCAAAUUCUAUUCACAGCAAUACAGAGCAUGAAAGUCCUCUUAUCAGAGCCACAUUUGGAUGCACUACAUUUUCAGUUUGAUACCAUGCUCACCAGGUUCAAGAGGGCAAUAAAAACAUUGCUGCCCAAAGUUCGUUCAUACAGAAAAAAUGGGCCUGAAGAUGAUAACUAUGCCAAUUUUCAUAAUAUAUUUCUAUGGAGGGCAGAUGGCUGGCAAUGUACCUUUGACGCUGCAGGUGAUCAAAAAUCAAUAUCAUGGACUCCCAUUUACAAAUCACCUGUCGCAUCUGAAGACUCCAGUUCAUUUGAAGAUGACAGACCUGGACCUUCGGGACUGUCCAGAGUUCAUAAAGAGAUCCAGGUGAGUAAGAGAACAGAUACUAGUCAUGAAUAUGACAUAUCAGGCUUCAGCUCAUCUGAUGACGGCAGACCUGGACCUUCUGGACUGUCCAGAGCUCAGCAGAUGCAGUUGAUGAAGAGGAAGAGAACAGACUCUGGUCCAGAAACUAAUAGAUUAGACUCCAGCUCAUCUGAUGACGACAGACCUGGACCUUCUGGACAGUCCAGAGUUCAUCAAAUGCAGUUGAGGAAAAGGAGGAGAACAGACUCUGGUCCAGAAACUAACAGAUUAGACUCCAGCUCAUCUGAUGACGACAGACCUGGACCUUCUGGACAGUCCAGAGUUCAGAUGCAGACCAAUAAAACAAGUCAGAGCCUGCCGAGUAAAUCAAGCAACAGGAGAAGGUUUCGAAGAAGAGGAACACAAACAAAUCGUGAUACUUCUGCUCAACCGCUUUAUUCGACUGGGCAUUUUAUGCCACACUGGGUGCCACCAAAUAUGGUCUUUUUGAUAGAUGAACAAGGAGACUGUGAUUAUGUAGGAUUUUAUUAUGUACUCAACAUACAGCCUGCGGAAUCAUCAGAGUCCAGCUCAUUAGACUUACGCUCAUCAGACUCCAGCUCAGAAGACAUUUAA